rnacentral:rRNA from 1 species
UAACGAUGGCCACACUGUCUCCUCCCGAGACUCAGCGAAGUUGAAGUGUUUGUGAUGAUGCAAUCUACCCGCCGCUAGCCGGAAAGACCCCAUGAACCUUUACUGUAGCUUUGCAUGGGACUUUGAACCGAUCUGUGUAGGAUAGGUGGGAGGCUAUGAAACCGGAACGCUAGUUUCGGUGGAGCCGUCCUUGACAUACCACCCUGGUUUGUUUGAGGUUCUAACCUUGGCCCGUGAUCCGGGUCGGGGACAGUGCAUGGUAGGCAGUUUGACUGGGGCGGUCUCCUCCUAAAGCGUAACGGAGGAGUACGAAGGUACGCUAGGUACGGUCGGAAAUCGUGCUGAUAGUGCAAUGGCAUAAGCGUGCUUAACUGCGAGA